UUCCGCCCCUUUUCAUCCCUUCUCGCCCAGCUUGAUCGCCAGAUGACCAGAUGAUAAUUUGCUUUCUAAGACAUUUCUUCCUGGUGUUAUAGCUGAUGAUCUGACCGCAUCUUUCUCUGCUUUUCCGCAGCGCUCAGUCCGCUGACACGGCAGCAUGGUAAGGAUUUCUUCUAUUUCAGUUGCUAAGUACAUAAGUCUACGUAACCUUUAAUAUGCAGUGUAAGUGGGCAUAUCGUAACAUGCAUUGUGUAUUUGUAAUGAUGUAAUAAUCGGCAUAUACGAUGAAAAUAGGUCAGCAUUUGUGAUUAGCAUUAGCAUGGUGCCGCUCGUCAACUCGCUCGGGCCACACAACUACAGGCUGUUGGCAAUGGAAUGAUAUGUUCACGACCCUUGGUGGUUUUAUUUACUCAAAUUACGAGACAUUAACUACUCAAAAGCUAAGAGUCAAGACUGCAUCAGCCGUAGGUGUUGCGAAUUGAUGCAGUCUUCACUUAGUUCACGUUAGAUACAGGUGACUACUACUCGGUGUUAGCAAGACGUCCAAACAUCUAAGGCUGAUGUGCCCGUGAUGCAUUCACAAUCUUGCAAGAAUAACGAUGGACCAAGUGCUGAGUUUCGACUUCUUACAGAAACGCCAGUUCCACCGGUCCACUAACACCAGUUUGCUGUUCAGUCAUAAUCGUGACAAGUUGUGAUAAGCUUUCUGAAUAAACGAUGACACCCCCUUU